GAACUCAACCGCGCGGGCCGAAUCCAACUCUUCACUCUCCUCUCUUUCGAGCCCGAGGGGAGAAAAAUCCACCAAACUUCCCCUCCCUCUCCCUCCUCUCGCGUCCCCUCGUCGCCGUACUGCCUUCUCCCCGAUUCGAGGGCGCGCGCCCUCCCUACCCCUCUCGCCCUCGCCUCGCCGGCCGCGCCAACCUCAAGCUCUCGUCCGGAGCGCCAAUAGCACGGUGGCCAGUCCUGCGCGGCGCCCGCUGGUGGGCGAUGCGGUCGGAUGAGUUGGCGGCGGCGGCGGCGGUGCCACGUGGAGACGAGGAGGAGGAGGAGGGGGACCUCUGGCUGUCCAGCGGCGGUGUUGCCCCCGCCGCACCUGCCCCUCGGAGCCGGUGAUGGCCCCGACAGCGGAGCCGUCUUCGCCGCCGCGGCGACCCCGCACGGGCCCGCCCCCGGGGCUGAAGAACCUCGGCAACACCUGCUACCUCAACAGCGUCCUCCAGUGCCUCGCCUCCACGCCUCCCCUCGCCACGUUCUGCCUCGCCUCUCGCCACUCUAAUUUGUGCAAGAAGGUGUUCCCGAACAGAGACAAGGAGUGUGUGUUCUGCGUGCUCGAGCGGCAGAUCGCUCGGCAGCUUCGGGCGGAUGCUGGGGCACUCGACUCGCCAGCAAAGGUCAUCGGUUGCUUACCCCUCUUCGCCGAGCACUUCCGGUGGGGGCGCCAAGAGGAUGCCCACGAGUUCCUCCGUUACGUCAUAGACGCCUGUCACACUGCUGGUCUCCGCAUACGCAAGCGGCUACCUGCGGCAGGUGCCAAUGGAAACUGUGGUGAGGAGGAGGGCCGGGGGCAGGGGCCGUGUAUGGUGAUGAAGGAGACAUUUGGUGGGGCGGUGCUCAGUCAGGUGAAGUGCCUUGUGUGCAAGGGAGAGUCAAACAAGACCGACGAGAUCAUGGACAUCAGUCUUGACCUUCCUGGGAGCAGUUCCGUUGGUGAUGCCCUUGUCCGCUUCUUUCAGCCAGAGAUAUUGGAGGGUGCAAACAAGUAUAGUUGUGAAAGAUGCAAAAAGCUCACUUCGGCACGGAAGCAACUGUUUAUACUCAGGGCACCUAAGGUGCUUGUCAUACAACUCAAGAGAUUUGAGGGAAUAAAUGGUGGAAAGAUCAACAGGAAUAUAGAAUUCAAGGAGGCUCUUGUUCUUUCUGACUUCAUUUAUAAUAAAAAACAGGAUUCACAACCAGUAUAUAAUCUUUUUGGCAGUAUCGUCCACUCAGGGCUCUCCCCAGAGUCUGGUCACUACUAUGCAUAUGUUAAGGAUGCUAUUGGUCGGUGGUAUUGUUGUAAUGAUUCCCAUGUCUCCCUAUCAAGCUCUCAAGAAGUUUUGUCUGAGAAGGUCUAUAUCCUAUUUUAUAUACUGAGUUCGAAAACUCAAAAGCCUAGUACAAAUGGUUACUCUUCUACUGCAGCUAAAUCUUUCAGCACCAAUGGAAAUGGCAUAUCAAGCACCACAUCUAGUGAGACCCAGAAGAUACCUUUAGUUAAACAGAACGGUUCAAGUUUGACCAAAGGUAAUGCACCACUAUCCCUGACAAAUGGCAAGACUGCAUCAGGUCCACAUAUCAAGCCAAUUCACUUGAAGAAUAGUGCAACGGAAAAGCUUAAGUUAAAUGGCAAAGUAAACCUCACAUCAAGAAAUAACCUGGAAGUUAAUGAGAGUGCUAUACCAUCAGAAUCAAAUGGGUGUAAGACUGGAAAAUCAGCGGAACCCAGUAAAAAGAGUGAUAACAGCACUAUUUCUUGUAAAAAGAUGGAUGGUAAUUCAGAAAGAAUAUCGCAGGAUGCAAAUGGAAAUGGACAUCCAAUUCGUUUCCAAUAUCUUGUUGAAACCAGUAAUGCUAAGGCCACAUGUGCUCAACGAUAUUCAGAGCAGUCAUCUGGUGUUGUUGCCUCUAAAAGUUCAGUUUUAUACCAAGAAGAGUCUGCAAAUUCAGUAAAGGAUGUGGUGACUUCGACCAAAAAUAGUGCAUGCUUGAAACGUCAACGUGAAGAAGAGAAGUUAAAAGAAAUGCUUGCUGAGUCAGCCAAUUCUGAGCUUCGGUCAUCUGUUUGGGUGGAUGAUGUCUGUAAUUUCAUGCGCUCGGAAAAGAGGCAGUGUAUUCAAAAUACAGUCAUGCCUCGAGAUAUUGAUGCAAUGAGGAAGCAGCUAGUAGAUUCUGCAAGAAUGUUUAGGUCAAAAGUUCCGGAGCCACUGAUGGAACAUCUCAUUCAACGCCUGAGAACGUACUUUGAGGGCAUAUUUUCAUCGGAUGCUUAGCUUUUAUGCGGUAGUUCUUCAAAAGCUACUUAAUUAUGGAUCUAAAUUUUGACGGUUGAUACAAAAAUUACCUUUUGUGGGACUCUAUAAUUGUUUCAUGUGGAAACACUUGAUUGCCCUGGUGCCAAUUGGAACCUGUUGGUCAACUACCAGCUCCUUGUGCGGCUUAUUUUUGAGGACAUUUUUGUUUUCCUUGCUGAGGUUGAGACAAGGAGCGGCCAAGUUACUUGUAAAAUAUUCCUUUUGAUGUUAUUCCCCAUGCUAUAGGCACCCCCCUCCUCUGUGUCCAGAACGUAGAAGAAUUUUUCUUCUCCUUUUGUACAAUAAUAGCUGGCAGAUUAAAGCAUGAGUAUGUUGUGUCUUCGACCCUUUUUCAAAUGAACUUUAGCCCUUUCAGGGCUUAAGUUAGUUUUGGGAUAUGCAUUCAAUAGAAACAAUCAGAAAAUCUUGGAUAUAA